GGCACAGCUCUGCAAAAAUAGCAAGGAAAUGAUAGUAAAUAUAAGUUAACAUUUGUUGAAUGCUUACCCUGGGCUAGGUGCUACACUAAGUAUUUUACUUACUUAUACAUUUCCUUUUUGCACUAAUCUUAUGAAUUAGUAUAUCAGGAAUCUGAGACAUAGAGGUUACAAAAUCUCAUAUAACACAGAUAUUAGCAGAGUCUGAAAUGAACCUUAGUUCAUUAGUCAGUCUCCAGAGCCCUUCUUUCUCAGCCCCUAUACAGGAUUGCCUAAAUACCAAUUUGGAUAAAUCUGUCAUAGAGGUUCAGUCAUACCAAGUUGAAUCAUGAUUGUAUGAACUUGCACAAGUUUUCCAUGUUUCCAUGUCUUCAUCUGCUUCAGUAUAAUAAGAAUGAAAUAUAUUUAUUAAACAUAUAGGAUGGAUGUCUCACAUACACAAGCACUGUGUAACUAUCUGAGUAACUAUCUUUCUCAUCAGUCCAAUUCUAAAUCUUCAGUUAUGUUCUUAAUGUGGCAUCUAUUUAUAUGGUUCUUAACCUGUGACACUAAUAUGAAAGUGUUUAGAUGUUUAUCACCAACAUAAUAGUCUGCUAGAAGUUUAAAAAAUGAAGAUAGUCUGACCUUUAGGAACAUAACUUGGUUAUGUUAGGUUAGCUAUGUGAAC
rnacentral:lncRNA from 1 species